ensembl:snRNA U1 U1 spliceosomal RNA
AUAGUUACCUGGCAGGGGAGAUAUCAUGAUCCCGAAGGUGGUUUUCCUUGAGUGAGGCUUAUCUUACCUAUUUUACUGCAGAAAUGCUGAACCCUGUGGUUUCCCCAAAUGUAGGAAACUCAACUGCAUAAUUUGUGGUAGUGGGAGACUGUAUUUGUGCCCUCUCUGG